UACGUAGGUGGCAAGCGUUGUUCGGAAUUACUGGGCGUAAAGCGCGUGUAGGCGGGUCUUUAAGUCAGGGGUGAAAUGCCAGGGCUCAACCUUGGAACUGCCUUUGAUACUGGAGACCUUGAGUCCGGGAGAGGUGAGUGGAAUUGCGAGUGUAGAGGUGAAAUUCGUAGAUAUUCGCAAGAACACCAGUGGCGAAGGCGGCUCACUGGCCCGGAACUGACGCUGAGACGCGAAAGCGUGGGGAGCAAACAGG
rnacentral:rRNA from 1 species